ACNANNCUUCGGGUCUAGUGGCGCACGGGUGCGUAACGCGUGGGAAUCUGCCCUUGGGUUCGGAAUAACUCAGAGAAAUUUGAGCUAAUACCGGAUGAUGACGAAAGUCCAAAGAUUUAUCGCCCAAGGAUGAGCCCGCGUAAGAUUAGCUUGUUGGUGGGGUAAUGGCCUACCAAGGCGACGAUCUUUAGCUGGUCUGAGAGGAUGAUCAGCCACACUGGGACUGAGACACGGCCCAGACUCCUACGGGAGGCAGCAGUGGGAAUAUUGGACAAUGGGCGAAAGCCUGAUCCAGCAAUGCCGCGUGAGUGAUGAAGGCCUUAGGGUUGUAAAGCUCUUUUACCAGGGAUGAUAAUGACAGUACCUGGAGAAUAAGCUCCGGCUAACUCCGUGCCAGCAGCCCCGGUAAUACGGAGGGAGCUAGCGUUGUUCGGAAUCACUGGGCGUAAAGCGUGCGUAGGCGGUGACUCAAGUCAAAGGUGAAAGCCUGGAGCUCAACUCCAGAACUGCCUUUGAAACUNGGUCGCUAGAACAUCGGANAGGUGAGUGGAAUUCCGAGUGUANCGUNAUCCCUNAAAANA
rnacentral:rRNA from 1 species